UUUCGCCCCUAGCAGAACCAUAAUUGGAAACUUCCCAUGUUGAAUGCCAUGAUUGGUCUCACUGAUAUUGCAGCUAACAUUUCAAAUGUUUUUGUUAUUUAAGCAAUGCGAUUACUAAUUGAAAUCUUUAUAUUUUAGCUUGCCACAAAAAAUACACAUGCUACAAGGCACCGAAAGAUGUUCCACUAUAACGAAAGAUGAAGGAAGACACAUUAUGUACCCCUUCAAGUUUCGUUUAUUUCCUUGAUACCAAACGGCAAAUAGGCAGAACCGAUCAGAAAAGUUUCGUUCCGAGUUCAGGUCAGGAGUAGCUCUGAGACUGAAGUUUUGAUGUCAACACUUCAUCCCAUUUUAGUUUACCGACUGGGCAUGGCUUAUUUUAUAUCCAUAAGCACUUGGAAGCAUUUUGAGCGGUCUUCAAAGGUACAGCAAGGCGCACGGUCAAUGGGUGAAAUGCCGCUAUUAAAUAUGCGCCAAUUUUUGUAUUAUAGACAUUCUAUGUAUAUACAUAAAAAGACAUUAAAUAAAGACAACUUUGUAAAUAAUUAUA